AAACGGGGUCUAAUACCGGAUACGACGCACUCUCGCAGUGGGAUGUGUGUGGUAAAGUUUUUCGGCCAGGGAUGUGCUCGCGGCCUAUCAGCUUGUUGGUGGGGUAAUGGCCUACCAAGGCUUCGACGGGUAGCCGGCCUGAGAGGGUGACCGGCCACACUGGGACUGAGACACGGCCCAGACUCCUACGGGAGGCAGCAGUGGGGAAUAUUGGACAAUGGGCGGAAGCCUGAUCCAGCAACGCCGCGUGAGGGAUGACGGCCUUCGGGUUGUAAACCUCUUUCAGUACCGACGAAGCGCCGAUGAUGGUGGUGACGGUAGGUACAGAAGAAGCACCGGCCAACUACGUG
rnacentral:rRNA from 1 species